rnacentral:rRNA from 1 species
AUGACUACUCUAACACUCCUAACCGGUGCACAUACUUGGCUGGCCCGUGGACAGCAUGUGGGCUGGGCUGGGCUGCACGACACGAACCCGGCGGCUCUCUUCCCUUCCUCCUCCUUCCCCCAAUUCUUGUAUCCAGAGAUUGUAACCCUAAAUCGUUACCUGAAUUCCCACCAAAUGUCCUCAGAUCAAGUUCUCAGCAUGGUGGUGGAGCAAGCGAUUUACCCUAUCACUACUGAUGUAGUGUAUUCCCUCUUCGCUCCUUUUGGUGUAGAGCAGUUGGUGGUGUAUCCCCAAACAAAAUCAGAGGAUGGAGAGCUUUGUGUGGCGGUGGACGUCCGAUUCACUUCGGCGCACGCGGCGGCGCACGCGUUCGCGUACUGGGAUGGCCGCUGCAUCUACUACCGGUGUUGCCGCCUGCAGACGUGGUGCGCUACACUCGACGUGUUGCCGGCCCCAGCGUCUCCUUCACCCACCGUCGUCAAGGACAACCGUGACACUGUCGUCGACCUCAACAACUCCACCACGGCCAUCUCUAGUCAUGACGGCAAGUCCGUCGGGUCCGUCAACAUCCCUGCGGCAGCCAGCACCAGCACACCGCCUCAUGUCCAUGAUACAUCGCCCAAGUCUUCCCUAAAGAGGGACUACCGUGUCCCCGUCGUGGGCACGGACGAGUACACAUUGGUGGCGGCAAUUCCAGAAGUCGUCACCGAGCUCGCCGUCUUCCCCGGCGUCCCCUCCACCACCAAGGCCCAGGAGGUCCUCGAGGUCAUCCACGGCGCGCCCCCUGCCUACAUCACGAUGGCGCACAUCACCUGUUCGACGGAUGGCUCGAACCAAGUUAUCGCCACCAACAGCGUCAACAAGGUCACCACCAAUCUCGUCAAGCCUGCGGUCGACCUCAACGACAAUGAGGUUGAGCAGCUCGCAGCUGUACGGCCAACGCACUCCAUUAGCACGGGCACCUUCUGCAUCACCGAGGAGGUCGUUCCUUCCGGGGCGUCCACCACCGACAUCGAUUCCAAGGACGGCGUGGGGGAGCUCGAUGCCUCAUUUUUGAUCUCCAUCAACACCUCCCAUCUUGUGACAAACAAGGUUUCAUCCAUCAAACUGAUGCAGCUGUUCGUGGACCAUGACGUGGAUUUGCCGCCCACAAGGCACCACGGGCUGCGUAUACGUCCGAUGCCAUGGCCAUCACUUUGGGGAGACCUUGCAGAUGGCAGGGAGGUACGACCCAUCCCUUGGCCGUUUCCCGUGAAGAAGUUCAUGGAGCAUCCAUUCCAGUUUGUCCAAUUGCUUGAUAUGAUUAGUAGCACCUUUCCUGUGGAAUCAUGUCAUGCUGGAGAACUUGUGGGCAAUCGCAAUGUACACUGCAUCCAGAUAAGCUCUAUCGAGCCCUUGUGCUUAUGGUCUUUGCAACAGAACAAUGUUGGUUCCUGUCACCGGCUGCUACCGCUGGUUACAUAUGCGAUGCAGUAUUUAUCUCAUGAUCUGAAAUCUUGGAGAGCAUCCUUGAGGUAUUUGCCAAGUGCGCGACUGAAACCAUGUACUUAUGAGAAGUUUGCUUGUUGGAUCCCCAUGACGCCGAGAGAUACGCCUAUCCUGAGUCAGCCGAUAAUGCAACUUAUGGGUGAUCUGAACCUGGGUGUUGUGGUGAUGAUGCGGUGCUUGGUUCUACUAUCUUCUGCUAACAUUGAUUAUGAGCUGCGGCGUCGACCAGAUCAAACAAAAGAUUGUGAUUAUAUGCUCAAUUAUGAUAUGGAUGUGAUUGGAUCUGACUGGGGCAUCUACCUGUUGGACAUAUCUUGGGAUCCUGGAGGGAUGGCAUGGCCGUUGUUACCCGAAUUGGCUCGGCGAGUGGUCUUCGAGGGAGAAAGGUGUGUCAUCAUCUUAACUGCGGCCUACCUUGUCCACGCCAGCUACAUUUCAUUUCGGCUACUGCAUGGACUUCGAUGGGUUCAAGGUACAACAAUUUUUGUGGGAUCAGGGCCGUGUGAGCCUUCCAAGUCUUAUACAUCCUUCGGGGGGGCCUACCUUGGCCACAACUACUGCUUCGACCUUGUCGAAAUCUACCCCGGCUUCGGCUACCACCGUGACUACGACUGCUUCUUCGAGCUCGUUCAAGUCCACCUUAACAAUGGUUACUACUGCGACAACUACCCUGGCGACCCCAACAUGAUUGAUGAUCUUCAAGCACCAUGGGAUCCUGGCGAGCUUUUCAGGACAACGGCUUGGGGGCAAGCCGCAUUUCAAGGAGGAGGGGAUGUUAGGAGCCCUCCUAACCGGCGCACAUACUUGGGCUGGCCCGUGGACAGCAUGUGGGCUGGGCUGGGCUGUGCACAUGUUGAAGCGUUGCUGGCUAUAAGUAAGUGGAGAGGAGGCAACGAGGAGGGUAUUCAGUGGAUCACGGCACGAACCCGGCGGCGGCUCUCUUCCCUUCCUCCUCCUUCCCCCAAUUCUUAUCGAGUAAUAUACCAGUGGGAUUCUAACAUCCGGCACGGCCACGGCGGCGCGGACGCGCUCGUCAGGUUCCCCGGCGGCGAGGGCCUGUCGGUGGCCGCCAUCCUCGAGGCGCCCGGGGAGGUGGUGGCCAAGUCCUCGCACAGCAUGCUGUACCGCACGGCGAUGCGCUCCGGGGAGACGGCUGUGCGGCCCGCGUGCGCCGUGGGUGCCGACGAGGCCGCCGCCGCCGCGCGCCGGAUCGGCGCGGUCACCCACCCGAACCUCGUGCCGCUCCGCGCCGUGUACGUCGGGCCGAGGGGCGAGAAGCUGCUCGUGCACCCCUUCUACGCCGCCGGCUCGCUCCACCGCUUCUUGCAAGACGUCUUUGUUCACGGCAUUUGGUGUGAUGGAAUGAUGCUGGAGGCGUCCGCGGCGCAGGGGUACAAGGCGCCGGAGCUGGUCAAGAUGAGGGACGCCACCAGGGAGAGCGACGCCUACAGCCUCGGGGUGGUGCUGCUGGAGAUGCUCGCGCACAAGGAGCCGGCCGGCCACGACGACCGCGCGCCGAGCUCCCGCGACAUCUUCUUGCCGGCGUCCUUCAAGAACCUGGUGCUCGAGAGGAAGAUCUCCGACGCGAUCAGCUCGGACCUCGUCAGGCAGAGCAGGAAGUCCGGGAACGAGAGGAAGCUGAACGCCUUCUUCGAGCUGGCCACGGCUUGCUGCAGCCCUUCGCCGUCGCUGAGGCCCAACACCAAGGCGAUACUCAGAAGGCUUGAAGCGAUAGCAAAAUGA